rnacentral:rRNA from 1 species
AUGAACGCUAGCUACAGGCUUAACACAUGCAAGUCGAGGGGCAGCAUGGUCUUAGCUUGCUAAGGCCGAUGGCGACCGGCGCACGGGUGAGUAACACGUAUCCAACCUGCCGUCUACUCUUGGACAGCCUUCUGAAAGGAAGAUUAAUACAAGAUGGCAUCAUGAGUCCGCAUGUUCACAUGAUUAAAGGUAUUCCGGUAGACGAUGGGGAUGCGUUCCAUUAGAUAGUAGGCGGGGUAACGGCCCACCUAGUCUUCGAUGGAUAGGGGUUCUGAGAGGAAGGUCCCCCACAUUGGAACUGAGACACGGUCCAAACUCCUACGGGAGGCAGCAGUGAGGAAUAUUGGUCAAUGGGCGAGAGCCUGAACCAGCCAAGUAGCGUGAAGGAUGACUGCCCUAUGGGUUGUAAACUUCUUUUAUAAAGGAAUAAAGUCGGGUAUGCAUACCCGUUUGCAUGUACUUUAUGAAUAAGGAUCGGCUAACUCCGUGCCAGCAGCCGCGGUAAUACGGAGGAUCCGAGCGUUAUCCGGAUUUAUUGGGUUUAAAGGGAGCGUAGAUGGAUGUUUAAGUCAGUUGUGAAAGUUUGCGGCUCAACCGUAAAAUUGCAGUUGAUACUGGAUAUCUUGAGUGCAGUUGAGGCAGGCGGAAUUCGUGGUGUAGCGGUGAAAUGCUUAGAUAUCACGAAGAACUCCGAUUGCGAAGGCAGCCUGCUAAGCUGCAACUGACAUUGAGGCUCGAAAGUGUGGGUAUCAAACAGGAUUAGAUACCCUGGUAGUCCACACGGUAAACGAUGAAUACUCGCUGUUUGCGAUAUACGGCAAGCGGCCAAGCGAAAGCGUUAAGUAUUCCACCUGGGGAGUACGCCGGCAACGGUGAAACUCAAAGGAAUUGACGGGGGCCCGCACAAGCGGAGGAACAUGUGGUUUAAUUCGAUGAUACGCGAGGAACCUUACCCGGGCUUAAAUUGCAGAUGAAUUACGGUGAAAGCCGUAAGCCGCAAGGCAUCUGUGAAGGUGCUGCAUGGUUGUCGUCAGCUCGUGCCGUGAGGUGUCGGCUUAAGUGCCAUAACGAGCGCAACCCUUGUUGUCAGUUACUAACAGGUUCCGCUGAGGACUCUGACAAGACUGCCAUCGUAAGAUGUGAGGAAGGUGGGGAUGACGUCAAAUCAGCACGGCCCUUACGUCCGGGGCUACACACGUGUUACAAUGGGGGGUACAGAGGGCCGCUACCACGCGAGUGGAUGCCAAUCCCCAAAACCUCUCUCAGUUCGGACUGGAGUCUGCAACCCGACUCCACGAAGCUGGAUUCGCUAGUAAUCGCGCAUCAGCCAUGGCGCGGUGAAUACGUUCCCGGGCCUUGUACACACCGCCCGUCAAGCCAUGGGAGCCGGGGGUACCUGAAGUGCGUAACCGCGAGGAGCGCCCUAGGGUAAAACUGGUGACUGGGGCU